UGGUGGAGUGAUUUGUCUGGUUAAUUCCGUUAACGAACGAGACCUCGACCUGCUAAAUAGUUCGUUGAACUCCUUUGGGUUUAUAUGUGACUUCUUAGAGGGACUAUCGGUGUGUAGCCGAUGGAAGUUCGAGGCAAUAACA
rnacentral:rRNA from 1 species